UACAGAGGGGGCAAGCGUUGUUCGGAAUUACUGGGCGUAAAGGGCGCGUAGGCGGCCUGUUAAGUCGAACGUGAAAUCUCCGGGCUUAACCCGGAAACUGCCAUUGAUACUAUCUGUCUUGAAUGUCGUGGAGGUAAGCGGAAUAUGUCAUGUAGCGGUGAAAUGCUUAGAUAUGACAUAGAACACCAAUUGCGAAGGCAGCUUACUACACGGAUAUUGACACUGAGGCACGAAAGCGUGGGGAUCAAACAGG
rnacentral:rRNA from 1 species